rnacentral:rRNA from 1 species
AUUGAACGCUGGCGGCAGGCCUAACACAUGCAAGUCGAGCGGGGAAAAGUAGCUUGCUACUUAACCUAGCGGCGGACGGGUGAGUAAUGCUUAGGAAUCUGCCUAUUAGUGGGGGACAACAUCUCGAAAGGGAUGCUAAUACCGCAUACGUCCUACGGGAGAAAGCAGGGGACCUUCGGGCCUUGCGCUAAUAGAUGAGCCUAAGUCGGAUUAGCUAGUUGGUGGGGUAAAGGACUACCAAGGCGACGAUCUGUGGCGGGUCUGAGAGGAUGAACCGCCACACUGGGACUGAGCAACUGCCCAGACUCCUACGGGAGGCAGCAGUGGGGAAUAUUGGACAAUGGGGGUAAACCUGAUCCAGCCAUGGCGCGGGUGUGAAGAAGGCCUUUUGGUUGUAAAGCACUUUAAGCGAGGAGGAGGCUACCGAGGUUAAUACUCUAGGAUAGUGGACGUUACUCGCAGAAUAAGCACCGGCUAACUCUGUGCCAGCCGCCGCGGUAAUAC